AGGCUGACUGGGACAAAGACCCUGGGAUCUUUGUCUGAAGCUCCAUCCUCUCCCCUCCCCCAACGGAUCCAGCGUCCUCCACAGCAGUCCUCCUCUCCCUGAAGCGGGAGGGGGGCGGGGGGCUAAUGGCUUCUCUGCUGCCCUGGUGGGGCUCUGUCUGCUCUGCCCCAUCGCAAUGCUGUGGGAGGAGAUUCCCAAGCCCUUGUGGCCAUAAGGAAGCAGAUGGAAGUAUGAGGCUGACAAGGUAGAAGGAACCUUCUGGGCCUCUCUUCUGAUCUGAGGCAGAAGCAAGGUCCUUCAGGGUUCACUAGUGGAACUACCAUUGGGGAGAGCCCAGAGGUGUGGAGAUAAACACAGGAAGGCUUCCAAGAGUUAGGUAGAAGGCUAUCAGACACAGCUUCACUUGUUGGCUAGAGUUAGCACAGCCUCUCCAGUCUCUUAUCACCAUCCUUGACUGCCCCUUAAAUCAACUCACUUCCCUAGGACCAUUUACAUACUCAAGACACCUAUACAUACUUCUCUCUCUCUCUCUCUCUCUCUCUCUCUCUCUCACACACACACACACACACACACACACACACACACACACCACACUGAAUUUACUCAUAGGACACCAUUGUUUUCCAGUACCAGCCUAUCACCACUGGCUAGGGACAGGUAGUUCCCUGGGCCUCCUUGGCUUAGCUGGGUGGGUAGGAAUCUGGUUUACAGAUCCAGACCAUAUUGGUACAGAAUGCACUCGUGGUCCUGGGCCGGGUCUCCCUGGAUGCUUCUGGUAACAGACACCCUCCCCCCUCAGGUACAGAAAUCCAUGGCAACGGUAUAGAAUGCUUCCUUCCCUAGGCCUUCUGUGGGUUUAGGCCUCAGCUCCUGAGCAACAUCAAGCAUGGCCCCUAAGUCUUGCCAGGAGUCUGAAGAUAAGCAGGUAUCCCCAGCUCCAGCAGGUGUACAGCCAGACAGCAGUGACUUAGGGUCUCCAGUUGGCACACCUGUCGACAGAGUGGCUCCUUCCUAUUCUCAGAGCGCUAAGCUCUACACAUCCACACCAAUGGGCUGCUCCGUCAAGCAGCAGUUAGCCCCUGAAACCCUGGACCCACGUACCCUGAGGCUCUUAUGGGAACAGAGAGAACUAGAGAUCCAGGCACUUCGGUGGGCUGUUCAGAAUGGCCACAAUGCCCGAUACUCCAGCAUCCUGCAAGAGGUGGCAGGGGUUCCCUCUGAGCGACUAAGGGGUAUGAUUGCCCCUCCUACCAGGAACUCCAAAAGUCAAGACAAAUUCCUGCGGAACCAGGUCCAGAAGCUAACCCUGGAGCUGAAAGCACAGAAGGAACAAGCUCAGCAGGAGAAACAGCAGUUAGAGGAGAAACUGCAGCAGAACCUCUGGGCAAAGCAGCAGCUGGAGGCUGAGCUUCAGACUUUUCAAAAAUCAUGCCUUCUGCAGCUAGCCCGUUCCUCUUGGGUGGGACGCGUGCUGAGGUCUCAGACCGGCAGCGUCGAGGUGGUCACUACAGAGGUUCUGAGAGACCCCAGUGACUUUUCUGAGUCUGCUGAGAUUCCCACUUCUGGGGAGGGUUUCCCGUUGGAAGAUGUAGAUUGGAACAGCAUUGCCCAGCGAUAUCCCAACCUCUUCUCCAACUUGAAUUUCUAUUCGGAUCAAAAGCAGUCCCAGCCCCCGACCUCCGAAACGUAUACCUUGGACUCGGAGGGCGCCACCAAGCACACAGAGAAGCCUACCAAGAUCCUGGAGUGGAGCGCCUUGCCUUUGUUAGACACCAGUAGCUCAGAAAGGACCCAGUCUGACACCAGCAGCUGCCCGAUAGCUCUGCAUUCUGGAGCAAAGAAGACGACUGGCCACCCAUCCCAGGGAACAAAUUUAGCUUCUUCUGAGCAGAUGCAGGAACACACUAGGAGCUUCAGUGGAUACACGGAAGAUCUCUGUAAGAGCCAUUCACCCUCGUGUAGCAAGACUGUUUUGGAGUCCUAUACAGACCUUCACCACCCAUAUACAAGACCCCAGUUGAACCCAUUCGGCUGCUGCUUGAAGAUCGCUGCUGUCAGCCACCGAGAGAAGUUCAUCCGCGUCAUCAACCAGUCACAGGCAGAGACAAUUGACCUGGGUGGCUUUGUUCUGCAGCAGCUUGUGAGGGACUUCCCUGUGUGCAUGUACCGCUUCCCACCCGGUACUCUGCUAGCCCCGCAGCACCACAUCACGGUAUGGGGCGAAGGAACCAGCAGGACCAAGAAGCAGCUGCCAGUGGCCUCAGGCCAGGACCCCUUCCAAUUCCAAUCUAGCCGAGGCUGUGUGACAGUGCUAGUCAACCCCCAGGGUCAGGUCCUCAGCGAGCACCAAGCCACACCCUGCGUGACUCUGGGCUCAAAGAUCUUCACGGACAACACUGACUGGUCCAUUGACUGCUUCCCGCUCUCAGAGUCUGAGCCUGAUGUUCACCCUGGUGAACAGCAGUGUCGACCUUCAUCACCACAGAAGGGUCGGGCAAAGGAUGCUGGGGCCAGGCGCAAGAAGCCAGGGUCUUUCCCAUAUCUCCAGGCCAGGUGUUCGUCAGCACAGGCACUCCAGCACAAGCGGACUGAGGGCCUCACGAACUCUUCACCCCACAGAGACCCGGGAUAUCUUGCCACUCCUAAGUUCCCGAAAGCUUCUUCCCUCUGGGGAAGUCCUUACACAGCAGGAAGGUGUGAAGGCUGAGACGUCAGAGCUCCUGCCCGUGAUCCCAGAGUGUCCCUCCAGACUGUGUCUUGGUGAGGACUCACUGGGUAGGCAGGAGUACAAGGUCCAGGUGUGCCGGAAAAGCGUGGACCUGAGUUGCCCCAUGGUGGCCCUGUCAGUCCAGAACACAGCCGAGAGCAGAUACGGCUUCCGCUUCCUCUGCUACCCUCCCAUCACUGAGGAAUUGUGUCGGCGGUUGUAGGUCAGCCAGGCCAGGCAGGCAGUGACAACUUCAUAAUUUAUUGAACCAACCAUUGCUUGCAAAGUAAAGCACAUUUCUGCAUA